UCAUAUACCGGUUCUCGUUAGAUCACCGAAGUCAAGCAUCAUUGGGCGCGGUCAGUACUUGGGUGGGUGACCACCUGGGAACACCGUGUGCCGUU
rnacentral:rRNA from 1 species